rnacentral:rRNA from 1 species
CCGUGACCCAGCAGCCGCGGUAAUACGGAGGGUGCGAGCGUUAAUCGGAAUUACUGGGCGUAAAGCGCAUGCAGGCGGCCUGUUAAGUCAGAUGUGAAAGACCCGGGGCGUUAACCUCGGAAUUGCAUUUGAAACUAGGCAGGCUAGAGUCUUGUAGAGGGGGGUAGGAAUUUCAGGUGUAGCGGUGAAAUAGCGUAGAGAUCUGAAGGAGUACCAGUGGCGAAGGCGGCCCCCUGGACAAAGACUGACGCUCAGAUGCGAAAGCGUGGGGAGCAAACAGGAUUAGAUACCCCUGGUAG